AGUGAACGCUGGCGGUAGGCCUAACACAUGCAAGUCGAACGGCAGCACAGUAAGAGCUUGCUCUUACGGGUGGCGAGUGGCGGACGGGUGAGGAAUACAUCGGAAUCUACUUUUUCGUGGGGGAUAACGUAGGGAAACUUACGCUAAUACCGCAUACGACCUACGGGUGAAAGCAGGGGAUCUUCGGACCUUGCGCGAUUGAAUGAGCCGAUGUCGGAUUAGCUAGUUGGCGGGGUAAAGGCCCACCAAGGCGACGAUCCGUAGCUGGUCUGAGAGGAUGAACAGCCACACUGGAACUGAGGCACGGUCCAGACUCCUACGGGAGGCAGCAGUGGGGAAUAUUGGACAAUGGGCGCAAGCCUGAUCCAGCCAUACCGCGUGGGUGAAGAAGGCCUUCGGGUUGUAAAGCCCUUUUGCUGGGAAAGAAAAGCAGCAGGUUAAUACCCCGCUGUUCUGACGGUACCCAAAGAAUAAGCACCGGCUAACUUCGUG
rnacentral:rRNA from 1 species